UACGAAGGGGGCUAGCGUUGUUCGGAAUUACUUGGCGUAAAGCGCGCGCAGGCGGCUUUUCAAGUCAGGGGUGAAAGCCCAGAGCUCAACUCUGGAAUUGCCUUUGAGACUGAAAAGCUUGAGUACGGGAGAGGUGAGUGGAAUUCCCAGUGUAGAGGUGAAAUUCGUAGAUAUUGGGAAGAACACCGGUGGCGAAGGCGGCUCACUGGCCCGUUACUGACGCUCAGGCGCGACAGCGUGGGGAUCAAACAGG
rnacentral:rRNA from 1 species